AUUGAACGCUGGCGGCAGGCCUAACACAUGCCAGUCGAGCGGAUGAAGGGAGCUUGCUCCUGGAUUCAGCGGCGGACGGGUGAGUAAUGCCUAGGAAUCUGCCUGGUCGUGGGGGAUAACGUCCGGAAACGGGCGCUAAUACCGCAUACGUCCUGAGGGAGAAAGUGGGGGAUCUUCGGACCUCACGCUAUCAGAUGAGCCUAGGUCGGAUUAGCUAGUUGGUGGGGUAAAGGCCUACCAAGGCGACGAUCCGUAACUGGUCUGAGAGGAUGAUCAGUCACACUGGGGCUGAGACACGGUCCAGACUCUGACGGGAGGCAGCAGUGGGGAAUAUUGGACGAUGGGCGAAAGACUGAUCCAGCCAUGCAGCGUGUGUGAAGAAGGUCUUCGGAUUGUAAAGCACUUUAAGUUGGGAGGAAGGGCAGUAAGUUAAUACCUUGCUGUUUUGACGUUACCAACAGAAUAAGCACCGGCUAACUUCGUG
rnacentral:rRNA from 1 species